GAUGAAGAACGUAGCGAAAUGCGAUAAGUAAUGUGAAUUGCAGAAUUCAGUGCAUCAUCGAAUCUUUGAACGCACAUUGCGCCCCUUGGUAUUCCGAGGGGCAUGCCCGUUCGAGCGUCAUUAUACCCCUCAAGCCUAGCUUGGUGUUGGGGCCUGCUGUUACCGGCAGCCCUUAAAAUCAGUGGCGGUGCCAUCUGGCUCUAAGCGUAGUAAUACUUCUCGCUACAGGGUCCCGGUGGAUGCUUGCCAUCAACCCCUAAUUUUCUAUGGUUGACCUCGGAUCGGGUAGGGAUACCCGCUGAACUUAAGCAUAUCAAUAAGCGGAGGA
rnacentral:misc_RNA from 1 species